rnacentral:rRNA from 1 species
GGCGCUUGCCGUUCUUUUGUGGGCGGCCUUGAGCCGGAAGUGGCAAUGCAAUGCGCAGGCAGGAUGAAAUCUUCUUCUUCUUGGCAGUAAAUCAAAGAUUAAUUAGGGAUCCCUAAUUACGCGCAGAGCUAGUCAGGACUUGCUAAAAAAAACGAGUCCUCGUAAUUAGCGGCGUCUCCAUCUGUCGCUGGCGCGUGGGCCAGGGAGCGAGAGUGAGGGCUCCUACUGAUUCAGCUGAAUGCCUGGCCGUACUAUAUAAGUUGGCUCGGGGCCUCUCGCCUCUUUCCCCUCCCCCAACCCAACCCUAGCAGCCAUGGCGUGUGUGCUCCGAGCUCGCGAAAACAACCGUCUCAUCAUCAUGCCUCGCCGAAGAAGGCGGCGUCUGCAGGACCUCUAUCUGCCGGCUUGGGGUAUAAUCCACCAUGAUUGAUUGGCCUGGCUCAAGAGGUGACCCUUCCAUCCAUCUUGCUGUCGGUAUCCUAUCUGAAUUCAGACACACGACGAAUCGUCGGAGAUCGGAUCGUGAAUGGGCUUCUCCGGUCCGUUUGGGGUGCCGGCCCAGCGGCCCCGUUGGAGGCGCUGAUGCCGGAUCCAACUGGACCGACCCAAGGCGCGGCCUCUCACUAGCCAAACAUCAGACUACUCCACCCGAGCCCCUUCCCGCUCAGAGUCGCAACCGACCGCCCGCCCGCCCCCCAUCCGCCCCCAAAUCUCUCCAUUGCUAGGGUUUUCGACCUCCGCCAUCGCGAAUCCUACCUCUCAAUGGCGUUUCCGUCCGCCGAUGGAGGCUCUGAUGCCGGAUCCGGCGAGGGCGUGGCGGGCGCCGACUCCGGUGCCCGCGGCCAUGCUCGAGGGCACCACCCCGGCGAGGGCGCCGACUCCGGUGGCCGCGGCCAUGCUCGAGGGCACCAUCCCGGCGAGGGCGCUCGCGGCGCUGACUCCGGUGGCCGCGCCCAUGCCCGAGGGUACACCAGCGAGGGCGGGACGGGCGCUUACUCCGGUGGCCGCGGCCAUGCCCCAGGACACACCGGCGAGGGAUUCUCUUGGGCCAGGCCGUGGGAAGCACCAGGCCCGAGUCCUGGUCAACCUCUUCGAUGGUUCAGCAGGCUGGCUGUGGCCAUCGGGUUCAGGCCCGACCCCAACAAAAGGCGGGGCUACACCCCAACGCCAACUCAAAUCGUGCCUGUUGACCUCUCACCGACCCAGAUUGAAAGGGCUGAGCUGUAUCAAUUUAAAAAGCAUCUUGAUGACCUUUUGAAAGAGGCAAGGCUUGAGUUGAAGACCCCUGCUGAGUUUGAUAGUAAUAUUUCUGUGACCGUCCUGAAGCCCUGGCAGGGUGUUCUUGUAAAAUCAGCGAUUGCCUUUGCGUCUAUGAGACGACCGGGCGCCGUUCAAAUGCGGUGGAAACUUGGCUUCACUGCUGUUGAUGUUUAUAUGGAUAAUCAAUCUCUCAAUAGCAAAUAUGUUAGAUUACUUAACGAGUUCACUUUCAAUAUGAAGUCUGUAGUUGAGUAUGCUCGAGACCACAAUGAAAUAACUGAUGAAUGUGCUGUUGAGUUGCUAAAUGCGCUGAGGAAGUUCCACACAAAUGUUUCAGAGGUGUUGGCUCGUGAUGACAGUCGUUUUUUGGAGGCAAUGCAACAGCUACGUGAAAAUGUUUCCUCUCUUGGUGAUAAGCUUUUAUCUUUUGGCAGUGCAUUCAGAGUUUUUAAUAGCUUUGCCGAUGUGGCAUAUCGUGUAUCGCAGAUGGGUGGUGACCCUGCCCUUUUUGAAGAUAUUGGCAAGGAAGUUACUGAUAUGACAAGAGACCCGUUUUUGCUAAAGAAUGUUUAUUUGGGCGCAAUGCAGAACUAUUCUGUAACUUUUGGCUCUGAAAUUGUUGGAAAGAACCUGCUCAAGAAGUUACACCUGGGUGUGAGAAAUUCUGAUUUAUCAAUAUGCUUGUCCGCAUCGGAAGUUACACCUGGUCAGGCUGCUGAAGCAAAUGGCGCUGAUGUUAAUCUGUAUAAUCAGCUGAAUUAUGCUGAGUUGCAUGCGGAGAAACUGUUUGCUGAUAACUUCAAAGGAAUGCUUCACAUACCUUACUCCCUUAGAAAAUCUAAACUUGAGUUGCAAAGUCUGCAACCAUUCCAAUCUUUUUCUGGUUGUAUUGGGCUGAACAAGAACAGGAAGCCAUACUUUUCCUCAUCUAGUUUUUGUGGUGUUAAGGAUCUGAAAUUAUAUAAUGUUGAAAGCCUUGGGUUUGGUGGAAAGCUUCACAUAAAUGAUGGGGAUUCUUGGAUCAAUUGUUCUGCUGGUGUAUCUGUCUCAUCCCUGUGGUGCAACCUUGGUCUUACAUUUAAGCAACCAGGCCUCUUCACAGCAACUUGUUCCAGCCGUAUGGGCAAUGGUAGCACUAUUCUUGGCGGUUAUAUCAGUUAUAGCUAUGCGGAGGACCGGACCAAGUUUGCUGCUGGAGUUCAGCAUUCAGUUGAUAGCUCUAUGUAUCUGAAGAGCUGCAUUGGAAGUGACAAAGUUCUCAGAAGUGUUGUCUCCAAGAGCUUCGGCAAAUCCCGUCUCAAUCUUGUAGCUGAAGUUAAUUUCAAGGACUUCCGGAAGCUUUCCCGUGCUGGGAUUUAUUUUUCAUUCCCUUGAGACACUUAACAGGUUUCAAGAGUUGGCACCCUUCAAGAAGUAUAUUUGCUCUUCCAGGUUUCAAGAGUUGGCACCCUUGUUGCUCUUCCAGGUCUCGAAAGUUGGCCUGUCAAACUCACGCCUGAGCAAUUUUGUUCUGUUUUGUGAUGGAUGUACAGCACACAACAACACAAACCCCCCAUGGGUUUUGAGCAUCCUUUUGCUCGUGUAAAGUAACUUGGAUAGAUAUGAUAGAAUCGAUUGCAUACGGUUGCGGGUUUUGAGCAUUGGUUUUGCUCCUGUAAAAAAAAGCUUGGAGAGACUAGACAGGUAGAAUUGAUUACCAGUUGGGCGGAGAUACGUUAGAAAGUAUACGUAAUAAUUUGGUGGAUGUCUUUUAGGUCUUUGUACUGUGAUGAUGGAAAUGGAUCUGUUGUUGCAACUUGAUAGAAAUUGAUGUUUCUUGUCUUGGUAUACAAGAUAGUUGAUUUGUUUUUCUCG